CCGUUAGAUGAAGAGGCGAUGAUCAAGUACAUCCUCAUUGGCAUCGACAUUGAUUACAAUCCAAUCGUGUUCGUUAUUGUUCCACAAGUGGAACCAGUGCGAGUCAACGAGUUGUAUGCUCAACUUCUGAGUUUCAAAA